CACGUCGGGUGCGAGUGUUGUCCGGAAUUAUUGGGCGUAAAGAGCUCGUAGGCGGUGUGUCGCGUCGGCCGUGAAAACCUGUGGCUUAACCAUGGGCUUGCGGUCGAUACGGGCAGACUAGAGUUCGGUAGGGGAGUCUGGAAUUCCUGGUGUAGCGGUGAAAUGCGCAGAUAUCAGGAGGAACACCGGUGGCGAAGGCGGGACUCUGGGCCGAUACUGACGCUGAGGAGCGAAAGCGUGGGGAGCGAACAGG
rnacentral:rRNA from 1 species